GGCCGUUUGGUCUAGUGGUAUGAUUCGCGCUUUGGGUUUAGGAAAUGGCGGCUUUCAUUGGUUGACCUUUCUCCUCAAUUGCGCGAGGCCCCGGGUUCAAUCCCCGGAACGGCCC